UCUCUCUGAAUCUGCGAACGGCUCCGCAAACCAGUUGUAAACCAUAGCAGGCACGCCUUGGGCCGCCGCAAGGCGGUCCUUGGCUAUAAGGAUAACCCUGGUAAUUCUGAGGCUAAUACAUGAACGUAACCCCCGGCCGACGGGCAACUGGAAGCCGGGGACCGUGCGAGUAAGCGCAACGGUUUAUCGGAGUAGUCGCACAGUACGACCACCAUCCAAACGGUAUCUGCUUCGCUGCCUCACGGCGGCUGGUGGUGUCCGGGUGGCUCUUGCAAGGUGCUUCUGACCUAUCAACUAGAUGGCAGCGUAACGGACAUGCUAUGGUGACAACGGGUACAGAGGAUAAGGGUUCGAUCCUGGAGAGUGGGCCUGAGAGAUUGCUCACACUUCUAAGGAAGGCAGCAGGCGCGCAACGUUCCCCUUGGGCAAAGCUCGAGGGCGUUAGGGGACAUAUGAAUGCCUGCCUUAUGGUGGGCAAUUCAAAUGGGUCUGUUCUAAACAGCCUCUCGA
rnacentral:rRNA from 1 species